ACGUAACGAACGAUAAAUUGGUAGCCAAUGUUAAUCACUUUCUAUUCCAUCAAACGAAACGUCCAACUCGUUCGACAACUCCCAUAUAAACCGUAGCCAAAGUGACAAUUUUGACAAUCGCUUACGCUCGCUAUCUAUUCCAUCGAUCGAUUACGAAGCGAUCGCCAACACCUUGUAGAAAACGAAACAAAAUGGCGAUUUUAUAAUCAGCUGGUGAAAUUUUGUGUUGUGUUUGUGCAAAUUUUUAUAAAUAACUUUGAAAUGCAUUCGCUUCGACUCUUGUGGGCUGCUCAUAAUGAAGAAGUGUAGCUCAGGCGUCAAAAAAGAAACGUUUCUCGGCGGUCCUUGGAGCAAAUCGGCGAAAUGCCGGUUUUAUGUUUCGGGAACCAUUUAGAUUGGAUAAACGAGCAUUUGUUUCCACCUACGGGCCCAUACCUGUUUGAGAGGAACCGUAGCAUUUCUACUGGAAGUUAAGGUUUUUUGUGCCUUGACUUCCUUGGCGACAGGCUCUUACCAGUGGAUCGUGUGUGUCUCGCAACAUUUGCUGCAGCGAACAACUAGUCGUUGCAUUAGGCAAGUUGUGGAAGCCCUCAAUCAUCCGAAUGUAAUAAGUAAAUGGGUGUUCCCACAAACGCAACAAGUUAAGCCCAGAGGUUCCAAAUAAGAUUUCAUUUAUCUGGUGUAAUAGGGUGCAUUGACUGCACCCAUGUAACCAUUGUGAAGUCCAUGGUAGAUGAGCAUCUUUUUUAUAAAAGUAUACCACCCAUUAAAUGUACAAAUGAUUUAUGAUCAUAACUUAAAAAUUUUAAAUGUCGAUGCUAAGUAUGGUGGAGCCACACAUGACUCUUAUAUGGUCAUCCAGGCAAGUGGAACCAUACAUGCUUGCCCUUCAUCAAAAUGGUGAACAAACAGGCUAUUAGGUGAUUCUGGAUACCUACAAAGAGCCUGGCUAAUGAUGCCUAUCUUAAAUGCUGCAUCAGGGUCACCAGAAGAGAAUUACACCAGGCGUCUUAUCCAGGCCACAAAUUGUAUUGAACGGUGUUUUGGCUUGCUGAAGACACAUUGAAGAUGUUUACUUAAGCACUGAACACUUCAUUAACAUCUCCAAGUCACCAGUAAAAUAGUAAUUCCAUGUGGUGAACUGCAUAACAUUGCAUUGAAUGCCAAAUUACCCCCACCAGGUGAUAUGGCUGCGCAACGUGAUGUUAAGGGACUACCAGUAGUAGCCAAGAUGAGCUAAAACAUGGCAGAGCCAUGCCCAUUUCUUUAGUGAAUAGAUUGUG